AUAGAGCGAGGACGCUAACAGGAACAAUGACUCAGGAUGAGGGUCAGGAGCGCCAGGAGGCGAAGACAGAGGAUUGUCAGGAAGACAAACGUCCGGAGACGUAAUUAAACGGAAAUGGAAUCAACACGGAUUGUUCCGGCUAAUGGAAAAACAGGGUGUGUUGGCGGCCUGCAAGGAUUGUAAGACCCGUUAAGGGUUAUGAGUCAGGAAAAAAAAAAAGAAAACAAACAGAGCGGGAUCGCGUUUUUUUUUUUUUUUUUUUUUUUUU
rnacentral:sRNA from 1 species